UGAGAGAAGUUUCUUUAAAAAGAAACACGUUGUGUUGAACAUCUCCAUCCUGCAUUCAUCAGGGCAAGUGGCAAGAAUGCCAGUUUAAGGGGAACACCAGCAUUUGUACUGUACGGGUUGAGAGUGCUGAUUGAUACAGGCCAUGAAGAAUGUACCAGUUAAUUAUGAAUGACAGUUAACUGCAAGGCUUUGUUUAAAUUUUAAAUCAGGCGUGUUGACUCUGAUCAGUGUAGCUCCAAGAAAUGAACCAGAGAAUGGCAGCUACCUAUAUUGUUGAGUUGUAACAGGUAUAGAGCAUACACAUGUUCUAUUUGUUGCUAAAGAGCUUGGUCCUGUGUAUUAAUGUAUGUAGUCUCUGGUACACACAUGCGCCACAAUGUGAGGGUGACUGACAAUCCGAAAUCAGCUGUCAGCAUAAUUCUUCAAACUUUGGGAUUAUCCAGCAAGUGCUUUCCAAUUGUGGAACCAUAUCUAAUUUUAGAUAUCAUGUUGCGGGUUUUGCUAGCAUGAGCUGGUUGGAUACAGUAUGGACCUUGCUUGUUGCUACGCAACCAGGCUCUAUUAGCAAAAUUGGCAGCACAACAUUAAAUUGAAUUCUGCAAGUGGACAGCAUUUGCUAGAUAAUCCCAGAUAAUCUCAGGCUGCUGUUCUUCACAGUAGAAAAACCAUGUACAUGCACUGUCCCUGUUUCAAUUCAAACAACAUGGACGUCAGUCACAGGUUCAGCAGUUGAGGUAUGUCCUAGAGAAAUCUGAGUCAACCCGACUGGCUUAAAAUUUAAGCAAGCCCUGACCGUUAUCGUUAACUGGGAAAUUCUCCGUGACAAAGCUUCUACUAAUCAUAGCCCACUUGCCAACCAGUUGGUUUUCAGACAUAAUUUGGCAUUCUUGUGAAUUGUCCUGAUGCAUGCAAGAUCAGAGGAAAGAUCCCUGAUUCUCCAAACUGGAAUCACAGAAUUAUUACUGCACAGAGGAAGGCCAUUCAGCCCAUCAUGUUUCCUCUAGAGAUGUCAAAUGGAAAAUGAUAAUGGGCUAACUUGACAUUGAAAGCCUUGACUGACUUGGACUCCAGCACACGCUCAAACUCUACAUUCUAGAGCCUGACUGCUCACUGUUUCUCUGUGUUGCUUUUCCUCCUGUUUGCCAAUUAGUUCAAAUCUACUCCCUCUUGUUCUCAAUCCUUUCACAAGCAGGAACAGAUUUUCCCUAUCUUCUCUGUCUGGACCCCCCCGCCCCACCAUCAUUUUGAAACAGUACAGUGCUGCAGUUACUUCCUUACUGUAGCCCUGCCUGAAAUGAGCUCAGACCAGGAAAUUCCCACUUCCCGAGCCUGGGGAACAUAAUAAGACAAAGCACUGACACUGUUACAACUCCUUCCCACUCUCAGCCCUCUGCACCCUGAGGAAACUGCUGCAGCAACUUUUUGAUUUCAGUCAGUUCAGCUUUGGCUUUCAGAGUUGUGGUCAAUUUCCUGCUCAUAAGGGAAGCCAGGAAUCUUUAUAAUCAUUGGGAGCUGAUGUAUCGAGUGUGGGUUGGUGGGUGGGGGAGAGUUGUACAGAUCAGAUGUCAAUCUGCACCGCAGCUAUCUGUGGCAGACUGAAACACUGAUUUAGAAAGAAGGACUUGCAUUUUUAUAGCACCUUUCGAAACGUCAAAAUCUUCCAAAGCGACUGACAGCCUGUGAGCUGUUUUGUUUUUGAACUGUAGUCACUGUUACUAGAAAUCUAGAUGAGUAAUCCAGCACCCCAGGUGGAAGUUUGAAUCCCACCACGGCAAGCGGAGAAAUUUGAAUUCAAUAGAAAUAUUUGGAAUGGAAAUGCAGCCUGGUGGUGGCUAUAUAAGCUCGGUCAAUUGUCUUAAAAUCCCAUCUGGUCCUGAGCAGUCCUGAGGAAGGGUCACUCGACCCGAAACGUUAACUCUAAUUUCUCUCCACAGAUGCUGCCAGACCUGCUGAGCUUUUCCAGCAAUCUCUGUUUGUGCACCUGAUUCACCAAUGGCCUUUAGGCAAGGAAAUCUGCCAUCCUUACCUGGCCUGACCUACACGUAACUCCAGACCUGCAGCAAUGUUACUAUUCUCUGGGUAAUUAGGGAAUGAGCAUUAAUUGCCUGGCCUAGUCAGCAAUGCCCACAUCCUGUGAAUGCUUCAUAGCAAUCAGAGCUAUGACAAGUAACACUGUCUGCGUUGUAACUCGUAUCAGUAAAAGUGGGACCUGAUUCGAACUUUGCCCCUGGUCUGAUUGCAGGAAGGCUCAUGCAUCUCUAUGCCAUUUGCGUGGACUGCCUCGAAGGGGUACAUAAGAUAAUUUGCAUUAAAUGCAAGUCGCGAUGGGAUGGGAGUUGGCAUCAGCUGGGCACCAUGUACACUUACGACAUCUUGGCUGCGUCUCCGUGCUGUCAGGCCAGACUGAACUGCAAACACUGCGGGAAGCCAGUUAUCGAUGUGCGAGUGGGAAUGCAGUAUUUCUCAGAGUACAGCAACGUCCAGCAAUGUCCGCACUGUGGCAAUCUGGACUACCACUUUGUAAAACCCUUUUCUUCGUUCAAAGUGUUGGAAGCUUAUUGACAAAUGCUUUCUUGUUUUUAUUUUCUAGAGCAAUUGGUAUGUAGGGUGUAGUCAUUUGUUUGGGUUGUUUGUGUGUAAGUUUUUAUCCAGUGUUAGCCAGCAAUUGGGUGGUAGGGGGGGUGGGGGUGCAGUUUGGGAGGGAGGGGGGAGCAGAGGGAGAGUUACAGGAAGACAGCAACUCCCCUGCGUGAAGGGGAAAAGAUUUGGAUAUGAGCACUGGUUUGGGUGUAAUCCCUGCAGAACGGUUAAGUGCACGUCCCGUUCCCACCUUUAGACGCCCCAAAGAAACUCCCUGGGGCUUGACGGUUGAAUGUAUCCGUGCGCCAGGCUCAUGGCCUUUCCCCUUUGUAACCCGGAUCAUUUCUUUGAUGGUGUCGAGGUGUGGAAUGCUUCACGCUGCGUACAGAAACAGAAUGUGCUGGGAAAGACUCAGCGGGUCCAGCGGCACCUGUGCCGAGAGAGAGAAAUCAGAGUUUCAGGUCCGGUGACCCUUCUUCAGAACCUUCCUGGGGCUCACGCUGCGUUGGGUUAGGUGAGAGAGGAGCUGCCUGAGUUGCUUAAGUGCUCAAGGUGGAAGGGGUAAGAGGGGUCCACUUUUACCCCAACCUUCCCCUCCCCCAUCCCCCACUGCUCUCAUCAAAUAGGGGAGCAUUCACUCCAGAAUGGCCUUGAAUGUCUCAACAGGGUCAAUCGUCUGAAUUAAACCCAUCCACCACCCCCUGCACACUCAACCUUCAGGAGCCCACCCCAUGGCCGUCUGAUUGCGUUCAUGAGUGAGUUUUCAUCCUUGGAUUCCCACCGCUGGACUCUGGGGGGCACUGGAAGUCUUCUCCAGUCCCUCCUGUUUGACUGCUGGAAGUGUGGGGGAAGGGGUGGGGUUUGUCAGAGCUGAACCUAACCUAGUCACUGCCUAUUUGUAACCGGCCUCCCCCCGGCUCGAACCCAUGUCCUUUUCGGCAGGCUGGAGUAUGGGAGGUGACAGGCCCUUGGCCGCCUCCUUAACGCACCUCAGGGUGGCCGCUUUGAGGUGAACUCACUUGGCACAGACUGGGAAUCGAACUAGUACAUAUGUCUCCUCCGCUUGUUGGACCCACUUGCUGAGGGGAAGAAAGGAAAGACUUGCAUUCACAUAGCACCUCUCAGGAUCUGUGGCCACCAUAGAGCACUUCACAACCUAGCAACCAGUUUGCGCGCAGUGAGUUCCCACAAGCAGAAUUGAGAGGGGUAAAUAUUGCCCAGGAUAUCCGUGGAAAUUCCCUCACUGUUUUUCAAAGUAAGGAUCUGGAAUGCACCUCGGUUUUAAUCAAAAGAUGUUAUGCCUGACAGGGCAGCACUCCCUUAGGAAUGUCACCAAGGUUUCAAGUUCAAGUUGAGUAGGGUUAGGGUGCAGACUGGGGAUUGAAUCCACAACAUUCAUACAUUGGGUCAGAGUUGACAGCGAGGAGCAAGGGCUCGGUAACUAGAACAUUAUUCUAAUGUUGUAGUAUGGAUAAUGCUUAUCUCUCAUUGGUUUACUGUAAGUAAUGUGCCUAAAUGGUCACUUUCAGUAUUAUUCUUAAACCAAGUGUUUAUCUUUUAAUUUCCGAUGGUGGCAUUUCUGGCCAGCUCAGCAUUUGAUACACGUUCCUAAUUGCCCUCGGACAGAGCAGCUGGUCAUUUCAGAGGGCAGUUAAGAGUCAACCCACAUUACUCCAGCGUCACAUGCAAGACGGCUGUAUAGGUGACUCAUUUCCCUCCUUAAAAGGCCAUUAGUUAACAGGUAGCAUGAAUAUUGCUGAAAUAAACAAUGCAUUUUGUCAAACUUUUUUACCUUGCACUCAUCAGGACAAUUUGCAAGAAUACCAAUUCAGGGGGAAAGCAAGCACAUAGCAUUUACUUCCCACUGUACAAAUGUUGGCUUAUCCCUUAAAUUGAGUAUUCUUACAAAGUAUCCUGAUGAGUGCAAGAUUAAAAGUUCUGACCAGAUGUAUCUGUUUUCUGCAGCAGGAAGUAGUGAAUCAGAUGAACCUUUUAUGAGGCUCCAAGAUAGUUUUGUAGUCACUGUUGCUGAGAUUACUUUUUAAAUUCUCACCUUUAUUAAUAGACUUUAAUUUACACCUGCUGCUAUGGUGGGAUUUGAACCCUUGAAUCCAGAGUAACCUAGAGGUUACUAGUCUAAUAACAUUACCAUUAUGCCACUACCUACCCCAUGUGCUCAGUUGAUCCGGUGAAUUAAAUCCCGUUGAGGACCUGUUUUAUUUCCCUAAUGUCCUGCUUCUCAGUCCAGGCUGUGUCACAACACUAACUCCACUGAUCACCAAAAUAGUCGCUCUCUUCAAGCAAGUUUCUAAAACCUUUGUGAGCAUUUAACUUUUAAUCUUACAUUAGAAUGCAAAUCUAGUUACUCGUGAUGUGUUGUGGACCUUGAGAUCAAAUUACUGCCCUGUUAAAACUGCUAGUUUCUUCCAAAUCACUUGUGGUGCAACUGUGUGUGUGUGUGUGGAGAUUUUACGAGAAUGGGGCUCAGAGCAUAACCUGUAGGAGCAGAGGUUGGCCAUUCAGCCCAUUGAGCUUGCUCUGCUGUCCAGUGAGAUCAUGGAUGAUCUAAUAAUCCUCAACUCCAUUUUCCUGCCUUUUCCCCAUGAUACAUGAUUCCCUUACUAAUUAAACAGCUAUCUCAACCUUGAGUAUAAUUGAUGACCUAGCCUCAACAGCCCUCUGGGGUAGGGAAUUCCACAGAUUCACUACUCUCUGUGAGAAGAAGUUCUUCUACUUUGGAAAAGUUAGGGUUUGUUCUCUUUUAGAGUUGCAAAGGUGAAAGGAGAAAUUUAAUUGAUAGAGGCGUUGACAGCUACGAUAGAUAUUGAUGGGAGUAGCCAGGGACAAACCAUUUCCGAACAGAGGAUUGGAAACCAGAGCGGACAUUGUAACUCAGGAUACUUGAUGAAGUAUCAUGAUGAGAUACAGAAACAUAGAAAAUAGGUGCAGGAAUAGGCCAUUUGGCCCUUCGAGCCUGCAUUUUUGGAAUGUUGGAACUAAUACCCGUGCUCCUGUGUAGGACGGACUUGCUGUGAGCCAGAGGUCUGUGUAGGAGAUAUAGUCGUGUCUGAGCUGGGGGCAUCACGGUGGCUCAGUGUUUAGCACAGCUGUCUCACAGCACCAGGCUCCUGGGUUCGAUUCCAUCUCGGGCGACUGUCUGUGUGGAGUUUGCACAUUCUCCCCAUGUCUGCGUGGGUUUCCUCCCAUAGUCCAAAGAUAUGCAGGACAGAUGGAUUACCUCUAUGCUAAAUUGCCCUGUAGUGUUGUGCAAGUUAGGUGGGUUAGCCAUGGUAAAUGUGGGGUUACGGGGAGAGGGAAGGUGGAUGCAGGUCUGGGUGGGAUACUCUUCGGAAGGUCAGUGUGGAGAAGGUGGGCCAAAUGGCCUGCUUCAUACUGUCGGGAUUCUACGACUAGGGGAACUAAUGGGUUGUAUGCAGUUUAUUUGAGACUCUGAAACCCUGAGAGGAAUUGUGCAAGAUUCCUGGGUCAUCCUCUCCCUUUCCGGUUGUCUGUCCUCGUCGCUCCACGUCAGUUUGUAAAGGAGGGAAGAGCUCUGUAUGAACUGUUGCUGAGUUGAGUGGGUGGACCAGAAUGAAGGGGAAACCAGGGCACCCUGCAUGAUUCGGGACUGUUGUCGGUCUGCACCCUGAACGUACUCCAAUACCAGAGGUCAGCUGGAUAACAACUGCUGCUUUGCAUGGGCACAUUGUAUAGAUGCCAAUCCUAGGUGAGGUUGGGGUUGAUGCCAACAUGCAUACCCUGCAUCUUAAUUAAGGGAUUUAUCCCCCCCACCCUGAAUUGCUGGGAUGUGGGAUGAUCACAUCAUGUGGAUAAUUGGUUCUCAUAGAAUCCCUACAGUGUGGGAGCAGGCCCUUCAGCCCAACAAGUCCACACCAACCCUCAGAGCAUCCCCCUAUACACACUACAGAGUAUUUCAGCAUGGUCAAUCUACCCUAGCAUGCACAUCUUUGGACUGUGGGAGGAAACCCACAUGGACAGUCACCAGAGGGAGGAAUCAAACCCAGGUCCCUGGUGCUGUGAGGCAGCAGUACUAUCCACUGAGCCACCAUGCUGCCUCAAAGCAGGCACUGCCAUGAAACACCAAGCAUGCAACUUGUAGCUACAACCUGACACACUUGGUCAGGAUGGGGAUUGAACCCAUGACCUUGGCAUUAUUAGCACCACACUCUAACCAGCUGAGCUAACCAUUCUCCAGACAGAUAGCAUUAUUCCCUGGGAUGGGAAUGUUGCUGUACCAGUCACUUCACUGCCUCUGGCCAACCCCUCUCCUCCCAAUCAGUGGUGUGCCAUUUUCCCUUUAACUGCAGUCUCGUGCUGCUUAAUCCAGGCCAGAUUGCAGAGAAUCCAAAUUCUUUAUUUGAAAAGAUAGUGUUAUUUUUGCACCAGGGAAGGUUUGUGGGUCUGGCAGUGUCUUUGUGUGAAUAGGUCUGCGUGCUUGUGUGCGUGUAUGCGUGUGCGUGCGUGUGCGUGUGUUUGUGGUUAUGUGCAGGGAGGGGCAGGACAUUGUUAUACGGACAUGUGUUUCUAACAGUUUGAAGUUGAAUGCCCAUGGCAGGUGGAGAUGUGCCUAGUGUGUGCUUCAUGCCUCAAUGGAACUGCUUUAUAACUGCACUUGUGAACAGUAAAUGGUGAUACCUGAGGGAUGUGGGUACUGAUCAAGUGGUGUGAAAAGUUUAUUGUUUGGGUUGUGAAAGCCAUUGGUUAAGAGAACGUUUUUACCUUCAAUAAAUUAUAAUGAAGAAAACCG